rnacentral:rRNA from 1 species
GACGAACGCUGGCGGCGUGCUUAACACAUGCAAGUCGAACGGAAAGGCCCUGCUUUUGUGGGGUGCUCGAGUGGCGAACGGGUGAGUAACAGGAAUGUAACCGGCCCUUGUCUUUGGGUGAACUUCAGGAACCGGGGCUUAAUCCCGGAACGGACCCCCUCUUCCAGGGGGGGGGUGGGAAAUUUGCGGCGGUUGGGGAUGGAUUGGCGGCUGACCGGUUUGUUGGUGGGGUAGGGGCUUCCCAAGGCUUGGCCGGGUAGCCGGCUUGAGAGGGUGACCGGCCACAUUGGGACUGAGGUACGGACCAGACUCCUACGGGAGGCAGCAGUGGGGAAUCUUGCACAAUGGGCGGAAGCGUGAUGCAGCAACGCCGCGUGCGGGAUGACGGCCUUCGGGUUGUAAACCGCUUUCGCCUGUGACGAAGCGUGAGUGACGGUAAUGGGUAAAGAAGCACCGGCUAACUACGUG